rnacentral:rRNA from 1 species
UUACUCCUACGGGGGGCAGCAGUGAGGAAUAUUGGUCAAUGGGAGGAAUCCUGAACCAGCCAUGCCGCGUGCAGGACGACGGCUCUACGAGUUGUAAACUGCUUUUGUACCGGGGUAAAAUGCCUUACGAGUAGGGUUUUGAAAGUACGGUACGAAUAAGGAUCGGCUAACUCCGUGCCAGCACCCGCGGUAAUACGGAGGAUCCGAGCGUUAUCCGGAAUGAUUGGGCGUAAAGGGUGCGUAGGCGGUCGAUUAAGUCUGGAGUGAAAGGUACCGGCUCAACCGGUAUAGGCUCCGGAAACUGA